GAGUCAAGAUUCAUUUCAUCAGUAUCACCACACGGAUUUGACUGCCAGCUACCAUUUAGCACUCACAGAUGGGUCCUUCCCUCAGCUCCCCGUGCUGCCCAACACCCUGCUCCUGUGGUCUGGGCUGCCACUCAAAGCCAAGAGUAGCAAAAGGCACCUUCCAUUCCCACUAGAAAGAGAGAUCAGUCUCUAAAUGGGAAUCUCCUGUGCUUCCUCAUCAGCAUGAAGUGCCUGGAAGCCUUGGAGGAAAGGAUUAACCCAUAGGCCCUUAUUCCCCAGGGGUACUACUCUGAGCCAAGAGCCCAGCAGCUAUGAGUGUGUGACAACAGCAAACUGCAGGCUUUAUCUCAGAGCUAAGAGUGGGCCCUGGAGCCCUUGGUUCCAAUGUCCAUCAUUGGUUAUGUGUUGUGUGGAGAUGUGGCCUGCAGUAAAAGCCUUUGCACAGCAAGAUGAAAGACUGCAUGUUUGUUGGUCCAGCAGCUGCUGGCCAACGCACAUCUGUUAAAGCCCAAGAUCAAGGAGCACAUUGCAAAACCCUCACUAUGCUGUUCUGUGAUCCACACAGCAAAGACCCUCCCACCCUUCCCCUAAUGUUACUGAGGGAUGCAGAACUUCUAACAGCUUUAGCAGCAACUUACAGGAAGUGCUGGAAUAAAGAUCAUCACGUAGACCUGAGUUAACCUGGAAAGACAGUUGUUUCCUCAGUUAAUAAUAGAGCAAAGCAAGAACCAAGCCAAGCAGCUUGCACUCAAGCUCCACAGAGCCUUGAUUCCAACACCACAUGGCAACCCACCCACAGCCAAAUGCCUCACCCAGAAGGGCUUUAUCUGACUGCUGACCUGGCGACCUCAGGGUCCUGUCGGAGGAGCAGGAGGAUCUGCUCGGUGUUGACGAAGAGCGCCCAGCAAGGGAAGCAGCACAGCAGCAGGAUGAGGAUACCCCUCUGCAGGAUGGUGCCCACCUGCUUCAGGUUCUUGCCACCAUAUGUCUGAGUCAGGAGAGAGGACCAAGGUGAGGAUGCAUAGUGAGGGAACAUAAAAACUCCCAAUGCUUUUCCACACUUCUGUACAGCUGUGGAAAGCUCUCCUCCCAAACUGCAAUGUCCUCUCCUCCUGCAGAGACAUCAAGUCCAGCUUGUUCCUCCCCAGGGGCUACAGCAAGGCCUAACAAUGCUGUAGCAGGGAUUGCAUGCCAGACCUCGUUUCCCCUGACCAAGAGGAUGGCCUUCUUACAAGCAUCCACAGCACAGAGUCAUGGCACAGCUAGAACCAGAUAGUAGGAGUUAGAGAUAUUUAUACCCACUGAGGGGUGGGCAUGGCUGGGGACCAUGCCCACGGUCUGCUUAUGCUCCUUUCCACCCAGCAGCUGACAAGCCAAGAGCCCAGCACUGCUGGAGAACCAGCUCCUAUGGGAUCAGAGGAAGAACAGAACAAACCCUUCUCCUCUCCAGUCCUCCUGCCAGGCCCAGGCAUGUUUGACCUGCUGCUUGUCCCAAGCUGGCUCUCAAAUGGGCAUCCCGAAUCCAUGAUUCUACUGCAUACAGCCAAACAUCCCCCAUCAACAAGAGCCCUGCAAGUGCCUGUGUGGGUUAACCUCAGCCUGGUCACCCC